AGGUAGCGAAAUUCCUUGUCGGGUAAGUUCCGACCCGCACGAAUGGUGUAACGAUCUGGGCACUGUCUCAACUACCCACCCGGCGAAAUUGUAGUACCGGUGAAGAUGCCGGUUACCUGCGGCAAGACGGAAAGACCCCAUGGAGCUUUACUGUAGCCUGAUAUUGGGUUUCGGAAAUCUAUGUACAGGAUAGGCGGGAGACUGGGAAACAUGAGCGUCAGCUUGUGUGGAGUCGAUGUUGGGAUACCGCCCUUAGGUUUCUGGAAUUCUAACCUGCGGCCGUGAAUCCGGUCGGGGGACAUUGUCAGGUGGGCAGUUUGACUGGGGCGGUCGCCUCCGAAAAGGUAACGGAGGCGCUCAAAGGUUAGCUCAGCACGGACGGAAACCGUGCCUCUGAGUGUAAACGCAAAAGCUAGCCUAACUGCGAGGGUGACGGCCCGAGCAGUAACGAAAGUUGGAGUUAGUGAUCCGGCGGUAUGUGAAUGGAAAUGCCGUCGCUCAACGGAUAAAAGCUACCCUGGGGAUAACAGGCUGAUCUCCCCCAAGAGUCCACAUCGACGGGGAGGUUUGGCACCUCGAUGUCGGCUCAUCACAUCCUGGGGCUGUAUUCGGUCCCAAGGGUUCGGCUGUUCGCCGAUUAAAGUGGUACGCGAGCUGGGUUCAGAACGUCGCGAGACAGUUCGGUCCCUAUCUGUCGUGGGCGCAGGAUAUUUGAGGAGCUCUGUCCUUAGUACGAGAGGACCGGGAUGGACGUACCUCUGGUGCACCAGUUGUCAUGCCAAUGGCACGGCUGGGCAGCUAUGUACGGAACGGAUAAACGCUGAAAGCAUCUAAGCGUGAAGCCGACUCCAAGAUUAGAUAUCCCAUCGUAUAACGAGUAAGACCCCUUGAAGACUACGAGGUUGAUAGGCUGCGUGUGUAAGUGCCGUGAGGCAUUCAGCUUGGCAGUACUAAUAGGUCGAGGGCUUGACCAC
rnacentral:rRNA from 1 species